rnacentral:rRNA from 1 species
CGUUGAGGCGGUUCCGUAAGUUGGACGUGAAAGCCCCCGAGCUUAACUCGGGGAGGUCGUUCAAUACUGCGGGACUUGAGGGCAGCAGGGGGAGGUAGAAUUUCCGGUGUAGUGGUGAAAUGCGUAGAUAUCGGAAGGAAUACCCGUGGCGAAGGCGGCCUCCUGGGCUGUCCCUGACGCUGAAGGCGAAAGCUAGGGUAGCGAACG